UACGGGGGGCAAGCGUUGUUCGGAAUUACUGGGCGUAAAGGGCUCGUAGGCGGCCAUCUAAGUCGGACGUGAAAUCCCUCGGCUUAAACCGGGGAACUGCGUCCAAUACUGGAGGCUUGAGUGUGGGAGAGGGAUGCGGAAUUCCAGGUGUAGCGGUGAAAUGCGUAGAUAUCUGGAGGAACACCGGUGGCGAAGGCGGCAUCCUGGACCAACAUGACACUGAGGAGCGAAAAGCCAGGGGAGCAAACGGGGAUUAGAAAACCCUGGGUAGCCAG
rnacentral:rRNA from 1 species